rnacentral:misc_RNA from 1 species
UCUAAAGUCAUUAUCAGAUAAACAAAAAGACUGGCGGUCAAUUUUAACAUUUUCAAUAAUGGCUUUUCUUCUAGUUUUCUUUCUAGCCGUUGUUAAUUUAGCAUGUGUCAGUGGUGGAAAAUUAAAUGCACCUAAAGUGUUAUUACCGUACAGUCCUACAACAAUCUCGAACUUUACUUUAAAGGUAAACUUAACGAAAGAAGAGCAAGCCGAACAUAACCACUGCUACACAUGGAGAUCUACCCACCCUGAAGUGGUUGCUGUGACCCCUAUGAAUUUGCUGGAGGAAGAUUGUUCGUUGCAUGCUGUGGUUUCAACUGUAUCAAGAACUGACCACAAAAUGACUUCAAUCAUAUUUGCUGAAGAUAAGAUAUCAAAUGAGGUGUUUCACUGCUAUGUUAUUGUUGACCUGAUAUCACGUUUCUCAAUCUCCACUACAACUCGACUAAUAUCUCUUGAUGACACUCCUGAAAUACUUGCAGUUCAUGCUUAUGAUAAUGAAGAAAAUGUCUUCACUACUCUGAGUGGUAUGGAAUUCCACUGGAAAUUUUUGCCAAAUGGAGACAAAAAAUUUUUUGAAGAACAAAAUCUUAAAUUCUUAAAGUUUGAAGAUUCUAAAUACCAGACCCCACCUCACAUAUCGCCAUUAGAACGAGCUGGAAAAACUGGUGACAUUGUCUUAGUGGAGUCUGUUAAAACUGGCAGUUCUACAGUUGAAGCAACCCUCUUUGACCCAAUAUAUAAAAAUGUUCCCCCUGCCACGGUGAGUUUGACGGUGAUUGCCAACUUGAUGAUUAACCCUCCUAGUGUACACGUGUUGGUUCAUGGCAAAGUCUUUUAUAAACUGGAACAAAUCAGGCAGAAUGUCAUUACUCGAAUUUAUUUGCCUUCUCCACAAUAUUACAUGGAAGUUGUCAAACCAGACAUCUGUUCAUUUAAUCCGGAAACCUCAGAAGCUGAAGCAAUUAGUUUUGGUUCCACUGAAAUUGUUUUACGAGACCGAAAUAUCCAAGACAGUGAACAGUCGUACCAACCUUCUGCUUUAAUAUAUGUUGUUGAACCAGCUUACAUAAGUUUUGUUGUUUUAUCACACACAAAAUGGGUGUUGGAAACCGGUAGAAAUUAUGAAAUCUGUUUGGAAAUUUUUGAUUCUUCAAAUCACAAGAUUUAUCCAUCAGAUAAUCUCAUAAUUGAAGCUUUAUUUCCUGCUGAAUAUUUCCGAGUCAAUCACCAAACAAAAAAUGGUUCCUACUUUCAUGUGACCACUCUAAAGAAAGGAGUUGUUAACAUCAAAGGUAGUUUAAAAGGUGUUCUGUCUGAAAAGAAACAUCUAUUUGCACAAGCCCUAGUGACUGAACAGUUGCUGGAGAUCUAUGACAAAAUUGAGGUGGAACCAAAGUCUAUAUUAUUCCCAUGGGAAUCAAAUACUAAAUUUAGUUAUAGCUCAAAGCUUACGGCUACUGGUGGUAGUGGUGAAUAUUCCUGGAAUUCCUUGAACCUAAGUGUUGCCACUGUAAACAACAAAGGUUACACAAGUCCUGUCAGCCUUGGAAUUAGUACAGUAGUGGCUGCUGAUGUCAAGAACCAUAGGCACACCGGAAUGGCUAAGGUUGCUGUCCUUCCUCCAACGAAAAUUAAGCUGCUUCCAUCAAAAGUGGAAGCUGAAAUCAACACCAAGUUACUUCUCCCUGUUGCAAUGUUUGCUGAUUUUGAAGGUGCCGAGAAAGCCUUUGAAGAUUGCCGACAUCUAAAAUUGUCUGUGAAAUUCUCAGACAAAACUUCAUUUGAUUUAAUCCCAGUUUCUCCUCACUCAAGUUUAAACUGCGUAGCAACCAGCUGGCCAUUUCAUUUGUGUUACUCUAUGGGCCAUAGGGCUAUUGACCAUGCUGGUUCUGUGGACACCGAGAAAAUUAGCUGCACCUCCAUUCAGCUCCUGGCCAAGCAACCAGGCAGCUGUCGAAUAACAGUUACUUACCAAGGUUCACAUAAAAUUCUACAAGCUUCUGUUACUGUGGCAGCAUACAAACCUCUUGUGGCUGAAAGUCCUCUAAGCAUUGUUACUCUUGGUUCUUCAAAAGACAUUUUGUUUUCUGGUGGUCCCCAACCAUGGCAGCUGGAUCCAACGGAAUAUUUUGAAGAUUUGAUACCAAGUGCUAACUUUGUUAGUUUUUCACACUUGUCUGGAAUUGAGUUUAGUCUUCACCGAGGUCUUCAUGCUUUUCAAGUUGUGUGUACAGGACUCGGGGAGCAGACUUUAAAACUGAAAGUUGGCAACAAACCCACUCACACUAAUCUCUUGCCUGUUGUUGUGGAAACCUUUGUCAAAUUUAUCUGUGCUGAACCUGUUAGUCUUCAUCUACAACCACAAGUCUUAACUGUUUCUAAACAGUCAGAUCUGCCACCAUGUCCUGUUUUCUUGGAUUCUAAUCAAGUUAUUCCAGUUCACUGCAAGCAAGACUUGACAGUCCUGUUGACUGUCACUGAUAAUCAAGGACAUAAAUUUGACAACUUUUCAUCCCUCAAGUUUGACUGGAAGUUGUCCGACACAUCAUUGGCCUCCCUCAACUUAGCUGAACCAAUGAGAAUAGAGACAGACAUUUCUGAUAGAACUUCUAAGGUUUCAGCUGUUGGUUACCAAGUUGUGGGAAUGUUUGGUAAGCCUGGUACAGUGAUUUUAACUGUUUCCUGUCAAAACUAUAUCUCUAGGUACCUGUCUCAUUACCGAAUUCCACUUCAUUCGCGGCUGCGAGGAUUGAUAAGCCAGUCUCUUGAAUUAAAUCUUGUUGAAGGACCCUUCAUAACACCGGACUCCUUAUCAAUAUUCAACCAUCCUUCUAAUAAAGCUUACUUGAAGAUCAAUAAAGGUUCUGGGUAUUUCCAUGUUGAAUCAGUUCCUACGUCAUUUGUAGAUGUCAGACUUAUCAACCAUAACAACACAAUACAAGUCAUACCCAAACUUGAUGGAAUGACUCAAGUGAAGGUUCAUGAUCUCUGCUUGGAUUUGUCACAUCCUCCUUCGACCAUGGCUCAAGUAUCUGGAGUUGGUUACAUUCAUCUUUAUGUCAUUGACAAGGUUGAACUUGGUAAAGACAUAAUAGCCAAAGUGAACAUCUUAGACAUCAAUGGUAAACCACUUUCAGCCAAGUUUUACCACCUCAUGAAUGUAACACUUUCCACAGAAUCUGACAUUCUCUCUGUGCAGCCAGCAUUUGAUGAUAAAGGUGAUUCAACUGAAGCUCAGUAUCUUGUCAAAGGCUUACAUAUCGGUCACACCACACUUACUUGCUCAGCAGUAAUGAAAUCUGGAGAAAGAAUCUUUAGUAAAACCAAACCAAUUGAGGUGUUCCCACCAUUACGUCUACGACCCCGGACCCUAACCCUCAUUAUUGGUGCUGUCUAUCAGAUACUUGCUACUGGUGGACCACGCACCCAAGGAUCUGUCGAAUUCUCUAUGGAAAAUUCUGCAAAGGCUAGCAUUUCCAAUAUUGGGCUUGUUGAAGCUCUGGAACUGGGAUCAACAAAGUUAGUUGGCCAAGCAGUUGGCCUUCAUCCAGAUAGUAAUGAACCAGUUAUCUAUUCAGAGGACAGUAUUGAUGUUUACGUCCUGAAGCUAUCUGGUGUGAAGAUCCAUUCCCCUCUGACACAGCUCAAGAUUGGUACACGGAUGCCACUAUUUGCAGUUGGUAUCACUGAUAAUGUGACCCCUUUCUCAUUUGGAAGUGCUAUUCCACCUUUGAGUUUUUCUUGGACAGUCAGUAACAGUAAGGUUGCUACACUACAGUCAGUCUACCACAAGACUGGUCUGAAUUCGCCAAGAGAAAGCAAUUUUGCCACUCAUUUGGUAGCCACGGGACCUGGGAUCAUCACUGUACAACUGAGAGUAAAACCAACACUAAAAGGCAAAAAUCAAAUUGUUUUAGACAAAGAAUUUCGAGAUGAAUUACAAAUCGAAGUUUUUGAUGGGCUGACCCUGAUUUCACCCAGCAUGGUUGAUGGUUACAUAUUGGUCACAGCCAACACUGAAAUGCAGCUGAAGACUAAUCGGGAUAAUUCUGUACGUCUGCUCUACAAAACAAGUAGCCGACCUGGUGAGAAAGCAGCUGAAGUAACUGUCCGCGAAAAUGGUAUCCUCUCGACUGGUUCUAAAACUGGGCAGAUUACUCUUAUGAUAUCUGCUGUUGAAGAUUUUGGCAUCAACCAGACAAUGGUUUUCAAUGUUAUAGUGAAACCAGUCUCCUUCUUAAUGCUCAGUGUUGACACUGUCUUUAAGUCUAAAAGUGGUAGCCUAUCUGCUCUUCCUCUUGGUGCCACUUUAUCUAUCCACGUGUCAUUCCAUGAUGAAAUUGGUCACACCUUCCAUGCUACCAACAUUCAGACCAAAUUCACAUGCAACCGUUAUGAUCUUCUACAGAUUGUUAAUGGUGCUGAAAACAACACACUGUUGAUUAAAACAACCAAUGCUGGACAAACUCUUUUAAAGGUUUGGAAUGCCGAUGAUCGUAAGCUGGCAGAUUACAUCAAUAUCCCUGUGAAACAAGCCAUUAUCCCACAGAUGGCUACCAUGAAAUUUGGACAGAUUUUCUGUUUUGAUGUUCCAUUGUCUUCAUCAAAAGGUUUGAAAGGUAUGUGGGCCAGUUCAAGUGGUGCCAUUACCAUUAACCAAGACACUGGUGUGGCUGUUGCCACCAACAUUGGUAAAUCUUACGUCACCUUCAAUAUGUCAUCUGAUUUGAAUAUUGUUACAGAGGUAGUGGUUGAAGCCGUUGGUGAAAUCUUUCUGGAAAACACUACAGCAUUUGUGUCAAAUGUUGGUCAUCAAAAAGUUUAUCUUUUCCCUGUGAAAUUGAGUCAUCAGAAAAGCUUCAUAGGAGGAAAUUGUCCGGCAUCCCUUGUGGCAGACAGUCUUGCUAAAGCAAUUCUGCCCUUCAUUUGUCAUGUUGAACUUACCAGUGAGCUUCAGGAUAUAACAGCAGAGAAUUUAUUUACAGUUCUUCCUGAUUUUGAUGAAUAUUCUGGCAAUUUUGUAUGUAAAUUGACAGUGGAGAGUAAAAAUCUGGGACUGUCUUUAACGACACUAAUGAGUAAUGUCAUUGUCCAUGUGACCAUUCCAAGUGAGGAGAACCAACCUGUCGUAUCUGCACACUCAGAGACAUUACCUUUCUAUCCAGGAUUUCAUAUCCAUUCUCUUGAACUCUAUCUUUCUACUACUAAUCCCCAAUCAACUCUAAGACUCUCAACUAUAUCAGCUCUAUUUGAACACAUUUUAGUGACUGCCAGUGACCCGUCCUUUAUUGAAGUUUUACCUCCUCAGCCUGAUAUAACCACAUCUAUUAUAGUCUACCUUGUCCGUCUACGUGAUGUCAGCGCAGUAUGGGACCGUCUUCGCACUGAUCUCUAUUUAGACUUUUCUUGUCCUCUCACUGGCCAACAUGUCCACAUUCCAGUCUACAUUAAACUGACUGACAAUAAACAGAUUGUUUCAGAUUCCAAAAACAAAGACCGAUCCUUCACAGAGGUGACAACCAGCCAAACAUUCUGGUUUCUCAUUUUACUCUUCAUAAUUGCAUUCUUUUUGAUUUUGGCUUUAGCCUACCAAAUACGGUAUGGAGCACAGAGAGUCAGUGACAGGCAUGAUGUUUUCCUUCAGCACCAAUACAAAAACAGUUCUCCACAUUCACCCAUUCUAACACCCAAAGAAGUGCAAAGAAAUCGUUAUCCGGAAGAGACUCCCCAAAGCAUUAGAAAUACAAGUCAGCUGUUUCAUAGGUCUUUCAAUUCUUCAGGCAGCCCUUAUCACUUCCAGCAGCCUCGUUCAAGACAAAAUGUGUUUCAUCCUACUCUUUGGUCUGUGGAAAAUUAAGCUGUAAGAACCAUCCAUGAGUGUUCAAGACUUUGUCUCAGUGAAACAGAUACAAAUACUUCCCUCUCUUUCUCUCUCUCUCUCUCUCUCUCUCUCUUUCUCUCUCUCACACUCA